CCGUUGGGAUCUUCUGCCGCAACUUAUGAAACACUGGUUUAACCGCACUUGGCUGUGGCAAUAUAGGAAGAAUGUGAUUGUGCUGGAGAGAGUGCAGAGGAAAUUCCCCAUGAUGUUGGCUGGAUUGGGAAACUUUAAUUAUGGGGAGAGACUAGUCAGCUGGGAAGAAAGUUCCAACUGUCUACCAAUAUUAUGGAGUCAAGACUCUUCAUUGAAAUUUUUCCAGAACAACCCUUCUCUUUGAUGCACCAUCAAUAACUCACUCUGAGACGUAAAGGCGAGAUAUCGGCUUUUAUUGACUGGAAGAAGGAACAAGCAGGGAUGGAGCCUUCACAGUAACCCAGCCAAGGAUGGGUCUGCCGUUUCAAUGGAACAUUUAUAUCAGUCUCUUCAAACAUCAUCAACAACUUCCUAGCAGUUUACUGGACUGAACUUUGCUUUUCCAAAUAGCAUGCCUGUAAGUCACAUGUCAAUUCUAUUCCAAGUUGUGGAAGGAAAUGAAGAGAGUCUGUAGAAUGCAGACUGUUGCCAAGUCUGAACUUAACUCAAGUCUUUUUAAGCAAAUGAUCACCAUCAAGUGAAAUUACCAGCAGCUGGUGGUGAAAUGUUGAUGAUGCAAUUAGUUAAUAAUAUGAAUAUACAAACAU